AGGAGUAUAGUAUAAUGGUUAGUAUCUCGGUCUCCAAAACCGAUGGUGGUGGUUCGAAUCCAUCUACUUCUG
rnacentral:tRNA from 1 species